UUACUGAGGUCACAAGGAGGCUUAGCAACAGAGACAAGGCUUGACUCAGGGGUACAGGGCUACAAAGGCUGCUUUCUGCUGAAAAAGGGGUGGCGUGAACUCAGUAGCUUUCUCAGAGCUGCCCCAGGAAACCUGCCGGACAAGUCAGAAGAGAAGAGUGGCCCGGCUGCUUGGCCUGGCCCAGAACACUCUCGAAAGGAGGAGAUAAGGAAGGUACAAAAAUAAGGAAGUAUCUUCAUCUGAAAGAGAUGUGGGAAAUGAGAGACACGGCCAAAUUUGGACCCCUGCGCCGCUGUGAAAUCCUGGCACUACUUCCUGCACGAAAGGAGAUCGGUGGGGGUGCCCUCUCGCCAUCUAGGGACUCACAUCCAACUAUAAACAUAUGAAGAAGUGUAUGAAAUGACCUGCAUUUUCUCAUUCAGUCCUCAUGAUUUCAUAUGUAGAUACUCUACUAUUACCACUUCCAGAUGAGGAGACUGAGGCGCUGAAUGGUCACUUGCUCACAGCCCCCCACUAAUAGGCCAGGGAGCUGAAAUUCACCUCCUGGUUGGUUUGAUCGCAAAGCUCAUGUCUUCACUGCUGCAUCGCACUUCUGGCACCGGUAUUCCCUCCACUCCUGUGGCCAACUUUCCCAAGCCCUGGUCCUUCUUUCUCCCACUCUGCCUGUCCUAGGGAGGCUGAGAUGCAACGUGUCUCGGUUUCCUCAGCUGUCCAGUGGGAUAAAAAUCAGUGUCUACCUCAAAGGGCUGUGUGACAGCAGAAACCCUACGGUGUAUGCAGAGGGUUUGCACGCCGCCUCCUGUAUGAAGACCUGAGACCCGUCACUGGAAGCCUCGCUCCUUCGCCCUCCCCUCCCCUGCCAACGGCGUGUCCCUCCCAGGUCCCGACGGAAGCUGAGGAUGAAUUUCCUCGGGGACGGAGUAAGAGGGUCCAGGGUUAAUGUGUUGGCGAUGAAGUGAGCCAGAUGAGAGGCACGGGAAAGGGGGCACGGCUUUGGAGCUCACUGCUGGGAACCCCCAUCUUUCGUGUCAUUUGUAUAAAUCACUUGACUGUGGAGGCAUCACGGGCCAAGCCUCGGAGUGCGCCGGUAAUAAUAAAUUGGGCAGCACAAUAAAUAACGGGGAAAAUCAAGCUGCCAAAUGAAGGAUUUAGAUCGUUUAAAUCCUGCGCUAUGAGUUGUCAAAUCCAGUUUAAUACUGGUAAGUGUGGGAUAAUAACUCACGGCAAACACCCCACCCCACCCCCACUCCCCAGCCGCAGCCCUUCUAAACCCCUUCUCUCACUCCUGGCAAACAGAAAGGGCCCCCUGGGGGUGUUCGCAGAAUGAAAAGGGGUGGUAGAGACCGACCAGAAAUGAGUCUAAGUUAUUACAUAAUAAUCCCAGAUGCCUCAGCUCGGGCUUAGAGCAAACACACAGAGCUAAUAGAAUGCCGCAGGUUCGAUUAGCUGCAGAAAAGAUUCUAAAUCAGAGCAGGUUUUAUACUAUUAAAUUGGAUCGGGGAAAAAAGUCUCAUGGUUGGAUAUAAAGGAAAAAUGGGCAGGAUCACGGACACAUAAAACCACGGGCCCUGCUGGGCGGCUAAGGAGAGGCCUGAGGGUGGGGUCAGCUCGGGAGACGCUGAUGUCGAAGCAAGAGGCGACUCGGCCACCAGAACAGCCCGUUCCCAGUGCUCCAGGACGCGGACCAUGUUCAGAGACAUGGCCUAGGGAGCCACGGAGGCAGCACCCUACCUGACAACACAGGAAUUU